rnacentral:pre_miRNA from 1 species
GGCCCAAAUUUGAGGUAGAGUAGAUUAGGGGGAUCAUCUGAUCCCAGUAAACUACACUACUUCGAGUUUGUGCCC